UACGUAGGUGGCAAGCGUUACUCGGAAUCACUAGGCGUAAAGCGCAGGUAGGCGGUUGGAUAAGUCUGUUGUGAAAGCUCCUGGCUUAACUGGGAGAGGUCAACGGAAACUGUCCGGCUUGAGUAUGGUAGGGGUAACUGGAAUUCCCGGAGUAGCGGUGAAAUGCGUAGAUAUCGGGAGGAAUACCUAUGGCGAAGGCAGGUUACUGGGCCAUUACUGACGCUGAGCUGCGAAAGCUAGGGGAGCAAACAGG
rnacentral:rRNA from 1 species